GCUGUGUUCUUUGGCCUGACCAGAAGUUUCAGCUGAAGACCUACCUAAACUGCUCUGAAUUGGUUUGACACAAGUCUUUCUAGUUCCUUCUCAAAGGCAGGAAAUGAUGACAUUUGAUUCUUCAACUUCUCUGGGACUCAGUUUCCUAGUUUUUAAAGUGAGAGAAGAAACAACAUUUCUAAGAGAGCAUAGUCCAUUAGUCACUGAAGAGCACAUCACAGUAUCUAUUGCUUCCUGUGAGAUUCCUGUUAAUUGGACUUCUGUGGAGGUUUCAGUUUGAUCUCUCCUGGGCUCUCUGCAGAAACUGUGGAAGUCACAUCUUGGCAGAUAAAUGUACGGAUUCAGGUCACUUGGACAUACUCCUGAAACCUGACAUUCUGGAAAAGAAUAUAAAUGGUGGAACAAUGGAGGAUGUAGAGAUAAAGGUGAGAAAAGUCGAAGGC